ACGCUGGCGGCGUGCCUAAUACAUGCAAGUCGAGCGAAGUUUUUCUGGUGCUUGCACUAGAAAAACUUAGCGGCGAACGGGUGAGUAACACGUAAAGAACCUGCCUCAUAGACUGGGACAACUAUUGGAAACGAUAGCUAAUACCGGAUAACAGCAUUAACUGCAUGGUUGAUGUUUAAAAGUUGGUUUUGCUAACACUAUGAGAUGGCUUUGCGGUGCAUUAGCUAGUUGGUAGGGUAAAGGCCUACCAAGGCGACGAUGCAUAGCCGACCUGAGAGGGUGAUCGGCCACACUGGGACUGAGACACGGCCCAGACUCCUACGGGAGGCAGCAGUAGGGAAUCUUCCGCAAUGGGCGAAAGCCUGACGGAGCAACGCCGCGUGAGUGAAGAAGGAUUUCGGUUCGUAAAGCUCUGUUGUUAGGGAAGAAUGAUUGUGUAGUAACUAUACACAGUAGAGACGGUACCUAACCAGAAAGCCACGGCUAACUACGUGCCAGCAGCCGCGGUAAUACGUAGGUGGCAAGCGUUGUCCGGAAUUAUUGGGCGUAAAGCGCGCGCAGGUGGUUUAAUAAGUCUGAUGUGAAAGCCCACGGCUCAACCGUGGAGGGUCAUUGGAAACUGUUAAACUUGAGUGCAGGAGAGAAAAGUGGAAUUCCUAGUGUAGCGGUGAAAUGCGUAGAGAUUAGGAGGAACACCAGUGGCGAAGGCGGCUUUUUGGCCUGUAACUGACACUGAGGCGCGAAAGCGUGGGGAGCAAACAGGAUUAGAUACCCUGGUAGUCCACGCCGUAAACGAUGAGUGCUAAGUGUUGGUCUCAUAAGAGAUCAGUGCUGCAGCUAACGCAUUAAGCACUCCGCCUGGGGAGUACGACCGCAAGGUUGAAACUCAAAGGAAUUGACGGGGACCCGC
rnacentral:rRNA from 1 species